GGUAGGCGGUUCGUCGCGUCGGNCUGUGAAAACCCGGAGCUCAACUCNCGGGCCUGCAGUCGAUACGGGCGGACUUGAGUNUCGGCAGGGGAGACUGGAAUUCCUGGUGUAGCGGUGAAAUGCGCAGAUAUCAGGAGGAACACCGGUGGCGAAGGCGGGUCUCUGGGCCGAAACUGACGCUGAGGNAGCGAAAGCGUGGGGAGCGAACAGGAUUAGAUACCCUGGUAGUCCACGCCGUAAACGUUGGGCGCUAGGUGUGGGGGCCAUUCCACGGUCUCCGUGCCGCAGCUAACGCAUUAAGCGCCCCGCCUGGGGAGUACGGCCGCAAGGCUAAAACUCAAAGGAAUUGACGGGGGCCCGCACAAGCGGCGGAGCAUGUUGCUUAAUUCGAUGCAACGCGAAGAACCUUACCUAGGCUUGACAUGCACGGAAAUCUCGCAGAGAUGCGGGGUGCCUUUGGCGUCGUGCACAGGUGGUGCAUGGUUGUCGUCAGCUCGUGUCGUGAGAUGUUGGGUUAAGUCCCGCAACGAGCGCAACCCUCGUUCCAUGUUGCCAGCACGUGAUGGUGGGGACUCAUGGGAGACUGCCGGGGUCAACUCGGAGGAAGGUGGGGAUGACGUCAAAUCAUCAUGCCCCUUAUGUCUAGGGCUGCAAACAUGCUACAAUGGCCGGUACAAAGGGCUGCGAUACCGCGAGGUGGAGCGAAUCCCAAAAAGCCGGUCUCAGUUCGGAUUGGGGUCUGCAACUCGACCCCAUGAAGUUGGAGUCGCUAGUAAUCGCAGAUCAGCAACGCUGCGGUGAAUACGUUCCCGGGCCUUGUACACACCGCCCGUCACGUCACGAAAGUCGGUAACGCCCGAAGCCGGUGGCCCAACCCCCUUG
rnacentral:rRNA from 1 species